UACAGAGGUCUCAAGCGUUGUUCGGAUUCAUUGGGCGUAAAGGGUGCGUAGGCGGCGCGGUAAGUCGGGUGUGAAAUCUCGGAGCUCAACUCCGAAACUGCAUUCGAUACUGCCGUGCUUGAGGACUGGAGAGGAGACUGGAAUUUACGGUGUAGCGGUGAAAUGCGUAGAUAUCAGGAGGAACACCGGUGGCGAAGGCGGGUCUCUGGGCCGAUGACUGACGCUGAGGAGCGAAAGCGUGGGGAGCAAACAGG
rnacentral:rRNA from 1 species